GCCUGGUUAGCUCAGAUGGUAGAGUGCCCCCCUGGAAAUGGAGAGGACUCUAAAUCGAUUCUAGGACCAAGCG
rnacentral:tRNA from 1 species